AACGAACGCUGGCGGCAUGCCUAACACAUGCAAGUCGAACGAGACCUUCGGGUCUAGUGGCGCACGGGUGUGUAACGCGUGGGAACCUGCCCUUAGGUUCGGAAUAACUCCCCGAAAGGGGUGCUAAUACCGGAUAAUGUCUUCGGACCAAAGAUUUAUCGCCUUUGGAUGGGCCCGCGUUGGAUUAGCUAGUUGGUAGGGUAAAAGCCUACCAAGGCGACGAUCCAUAGCUGGUCUGAGAGGAUGAUCAGCCACACUGGGACUGAGACACGGCCCAGACUCCUACGGGAGGCAGCAGUGGGGAAUAUUGGACAAUGGGCGAAAGCCUGAGCCAGCAAUGCCGCGUGAGUGAUGAAGGCCUUAGGGUUGUAAAGCUCUUUUACCCGGGAUGAUAAUGACAGUACCGGGAGAAUAAGCGCCGGCUAACUCCGUG
rnacentral:rRNA from 1 species